GGGCAGAUUGCGAGCAGUAGAGGUCACGGAGACGACAUAACCUUAAAAAGGCAAAUAAGGAGAAGAAACAAAGCAAGAUACACCAUCAUAAACCAUUGUUCCAGCUUUCUUACUUGCUCUUCUCUAUACAAUCUUUGAGUCCCCUGAACUCUAAAGAUUCUUCUAUCACCAAGCAUGUACUGGAGGAGAGCACAAAAGCUUACUUCAAGGGGAUUCAGAUAGAUUUUGUAAAGGAAAGAAGACUCAUAACAGCUGACAAUGGAGGUGGCGAUCUAUUUGUAUAUCUAAUCUGUAACUAAAACACAAAUUUAAUUAUAAUUUUUUGUAAUUUAUUUAGCUAUUUUAUUUUAUUGAUUUUGUAAAAAAUAUUUUUUUUAUUAAAAUGUAUAAGUUAGCCACAGCAUAGUUUGUGGCUUUUAUGUGGAAA